UGUUUCCUGGGAUGUUGAGUUGUUAAUUAUGUCCCUGAGCCGAUAAGUUUUACCUAAGGGGGUUUAUCGGCUGCUAUUGUGCAAGCCCGACCCGUAUCGGGAAGCCUGAGGCAGUUGUCCAAUCUCCGCCUUGAACACACGGUUGUUCAUGGGCUGACAUUAACGCUGGCAUUCUGGGAAACUU
rnacentral:other from 1 species